rnacentral:rRNA from 1 species
UACGGGGGGGGCAAGCGUUGUUCGGAAUUACUGGGCGUAAAGGGCGCGUAGGCGGCCUUCUAAGUCGGACGUGAAAUCCCUCGGCUUAACCGAGGAACUGCGUCCGAUACUGAAAGGCUUGAAUCCGGGAGAGGGAUGUGGAAUUCCAGGUGUAGCGGUGAAAUGCGUAGAUAUCUGGAGGAACACCGGUGGCGAAGGCGGCAUCCUGGACCGGCAUUGACGCUGAGGCGCGAAAGCCAGGGGGAGCAAACGGG